rnacentral:tRNA from 1 species
GGACACGUGCCUGAAAACACAAGGAUCACCUUGAUAGGGUGGAAAAUAGAGGCUAAAAUCCUCUCGUCUCCU